GUGAGCGCUGGCGGUAGGCCUAACACAUGCAAGUCGAACGGCAGCACAGUAAGAGCUUGCUCUUACGGGUGGCGAGUGGCGGACGGGUGAGGAAUACAUCGGAAUCUACUUUUUCGUGGGGGACAACGUAGGGAAACUUACGCUAAUACCGCAUACGACCUACGGGUGAAAGCAGGGGAUCUUCGGACCUUGCGCGAUUGAAUGAGCCGAUGUCGGAUUAGCUAGUUGGCGGGGUAAAGGCCCACCAAGGCGACGAUCCGUAGCUGGUCUGAGAGGAUGAUCAGCCACACUGGAACUGAGACACGGUCCAGACUCCUACGGGAGGCAGCAGUGGGGAAUAUUGGACAAUGGGCGCAAGCCUGAUCCAGCCAUACCGCGUGGGUGAAGAAGGCCUUCGGGUUGUAAAGCCCUUUUGUUGGGAAAGAAAAGCAGCAGGUUAAUACCCCGCUGUUCUGACGGUACCCAAAGAAUAAGCACCGGCUAACUUCGUG
rnacentral:rRNA from 1 species